CUACGGGAGGCUGCAGUGGGGAAUAUUGGACAAUGGGGGAAACCCUGAUCCAGUAAUGCCGCGUGUGUGAAGAAGGCCUGCGGGUUGUAAAGCACUUUCGGUUGGGAGGACUGCUUCUAGCACUAAUAUUGUUGGAAGUUGACGUUACCUUCAGAAGAAGCACCGGCUAACUCCGUGCCAGCAGCCGCGGUAAUACGGAGGUGCAAGCGUUAAUCGGAAUUACUGGGCGUAAAGCGCGCGUAGGCGGCUAGACCAGUCGGGUGUGAAAGCCCCGGGCUUAACCUGGGAACUGCAUCCGAUACUGUCUAGCUUGAGUACAGGAGAGGAGAGUGGAAUUCCACAUGUAGCGGUGAAAUGCGUAGAUAUGUGGAGGAACACCAAUGGCGAAGGCAGCUCUCUGGCCUGAUACUGACGCUGAGGUGCGAAAGCGUGGGGAGCAAACAGGAUUAGAUACCCUUGUAGUC
rnacentral:rRNA from 1 species